AUGGCCUUGGAAGGUGUGGAACAGCUUUCACACCAGGGGCAGCCGCAUAGCUCUGGAGUUUCCAGCCCAGGGAAGGACGUGUCCAAGGAUGGAUGUGCUAGAGAUCCACCAAGCGAUGUGGGAAGGAAGGUGGGCAGUGACUGCUGCUUGUCUCAGGCUCGCUGGGUUUGGAUCAACCUCGUGGUACUUCGCAGGUGGAAUUUGCACCAGCAGCUCCCCAGGGAUGAUUUUCAACGCAUAUUGAAGGUUUCCAGUGGUUUUCACAACGGAUUCAUUGCCCCAUCACAACUAAACAAAGUAGCAUUCAGCACUGCUAUGUCAGUCAAAGGAUCUUUGUUGAAAAAAUUAGAUAUUAAUU
rnacentral:lncRNA from 1 species